GGGGGAACUGAAACAUCUAAGUACCCCGAGGAGAAGAAAGAAAACUCGAUUUCCUAAGUAGCGGCGAGCGAACGGGAAAGAGCCCAAACCAGUGUGCGUGCAUGCUGGGGUUCGGACUGCGGAAUUGAUUCCUUGAUUCUACCAGAAUGGUUUUGGGAAAGCCAGCCAGAGAGGGUGAAAGCCCCGUAUGGGAAAGGAAAGAGGACAAGGCAGGAUCCAGAGUACCACGAGACACGAGAAACCUUGUGGGAAGGAGCGGGGACCACCCCGUAAGGCUAAAUACUCCUUAGUGACCGAUAGUGCAUAGUACUGUGAAGGAAAGGUGAAAAGGACCCCGGGAGGGGAGUGAAAGAGAACCUGAAACCCUGUGUUUACAAGCUGUGGAACCGCUUUACAUGCGGAACCGCGUACUUUUUGUAGAACGGUCCGGCGAGUUGUGCAUGCUGGCAAGGUUAAGCGCCAAAGGCGUGGAGCCGUAGGGAAACCAAGUCUGAAUAGGGCCAGAGUCAGUAUG
rnacentral:rRNA from 1 species